rnacentral:rRNA from 1 species
UACGGGGGGGGUAAGCGUUGUUCGGAAUUACUGGGCGUAAAGGGCUCGUAGGCGGCCAACUAAGUCAGACGUGAAAUCCCUCAGCUUAACUGGGGAACUGCGUCUGAUACUGGAUGGCUUGGAUUCGGGAGAGGAAUGCGGAAUUGACGGUGUAGCGGUGGAAUGCGCAGAUAUCAGGAGGAACACCAACGGCGAAGGCAGCUCGCUGGGACGGUACUGACGCUGAGGCGCGAAAGCGUGGGGAGCGAACAGG